GCCUUUGUAGCUCAGUGGUAGAGCAUCAACUCAUGAACCAGGAAAUCACAGGUUCGAUUCCCGGUCAGGGCA
rnacentral:tRNA from 1 species